CACAGCUCAUUUGCUCUCCAGGGCACAGUAGUGUGAGGCAGGGAGCUGGAAGACUUGCAACUGCAACCUCAAAGGUUUCACGCCGGUGCAGUUUUCCCAGGACAAUGGGUCCUUCACAGGUCCUCCUUACUUCAGGAGGCCCCUUCAACCUGCAGCACCAGCCAUGGGUCCUGCUUAAAUGGUUGUUUCAAUUCAUAUCCCAUCUCGAGCAAAAGGCUUUGUCUGAAGCUAUCAUGAAGUCACUCGCUGAGACUGCCAGAGGAUUUUUGUUGGACCUGAACUCCUCAGUACUGGAAAUAGCUCCUGACUGCUGAAUCACAGCAGUACAAGAGCAGAGCAGUGUUACUGUCUUAUCUCCUCUGCAGGCACAUUCUUUCUCCUACAGAUCACCAUAAGGGUAACAAAACCUUAUCAGCAUGACUAACACCAAAAUGUCUUGAUCCACUUAACAGUAUAGAUAUAUUUUGCACCAGCCCAUUGGAAUAUAUCAUUUCCUAAAAUUUAAAGCAAGUUUUGAUCACGCAGUGCUCUACCAAGAAGAGUUAGAACCACCCAUGGCUUUGUUCUUGCCUUAUAGGUCUUAUCUUGCCCAUGUGCUUGUUAAUACUUUUUGUCACUUUUGUGGCAGAUAGCUUCUAUCGAGCCUGUUUGGAGGAAGUCCUGCCCAUCUCAGUCUUCCACUUAUACCAGUAAGAGUUUUUGCUGCUGUUUUCUCUGGUUUAGGCUCCUGAUAUCAAAUACAGCUAUAUGAAAAACAUAAGAGACAAAAAUCUGAACUUCAGAUUCUUGGCUGGAGUAACAUAGCACAACUUCCUUAAUUUGUACCAUCUGCUCAUAUAGGCUGUGCUUGUCAGGUCUAAAGCUUUCUGAGUCAUUCAUCCAGUAGCAGGACUUCUGGAAAAUUGACUGAGAGUGGAAAAUGGUACUCAUGAAGAAUAAAUUUUGUGUUAUAACUAAUCUCA
rnacentral:lncRNA from 1 species